rnacentral:rRNA from 1 species
AGAGUUUGAUCAUGGCUCAGAGCGAACGCUGGCGGCAGGCUUAACACAUGCAAGUCGAACGGACGCAGCAAUGCGUCAGUGGCAGACGGGUGAGUAACACGUGGGAACGUGCCCUUCGGUUCGGAACAACCCAGGGAAACUUGGGCUAAUACCGGAUACGUCCGCAAGGAGAAAGAUUUAUCGCCGAAGGAUCGGCCCGCGUCUGAUUAGCUUGUUGGUGAGGUAACGGCUCACCAAGGCGACGAUCAGUAGCUGGUCUGAGAGGAUGAUCAGCCACACUGGGACUGAGACACGGCCCAGACUCCUACGGGAGGCAGCAGUGGGGAAUAUUGGACAAUGGGCGCAAGCCUGAUCCAGCCAUGCCGCGUGGGUGAUGAAGGCCUUAGGGUUGUAAAGCCCUUUCGGCGGGGAAGAUAAUGACGGUACCCGCAGAAGAAGCCCCGGCUAACUUCGUGCCAGCAGCCGCGGUAAUACGAAGGGGGUUAGCGUUGCUCGGAAUCACUGGGCGUAAAGCGCACGUAGGCGGAUUGCUAAGUCAGGGGUGAAAUCCUGGAGCUCAACUCCAGAACUGCCUUUGAUACUGGCGACCUUGAGUCCGGGAGAGGUGAGUGGAACUGCGAGUGUAGAGGUGAAAUUCGUAGAUAUUCGCAAGAACACCAGUGGCGAAGGCGGCUCACUGGCCCGGUACUGACGCUGAGGUGCGAAAGCGUGGGGAGCAAACAGGAUUAGAUACCCUAGUAGUCC